rnacentral:rRNA from 1 species
UGCCCUUUAGACGGGGACAACAUUCCGAAAGGAGUGCUAAUACCGGAUGUGGCCGCAUGGCGAAAGAUGGCCUUCAAGAAGCUAUCGCUAAAGGAUGGGCCUGCGUCUGAUUAGCUAGUUGGUAGUGUAACGGACUACCAAGGCGAUGAUCAGUAGCCGGUCUGAGAGGAUGAACGGCCACAUUGGGACUGAGACAAGGCCCAAACUCAUACGGGAGGCAGCAGUGGGGAAUCUUCCGCAAUGGACGAAAGUCUGACGGAGCAACGCCGCGUGAGUGAUGAAGGAUUUCGGUCUGUAAAGCUCUGUUGUUUAUGACGAAGUGCAGUGUGUGAACAAUGCAUUGCAAUGACGGUAGUAAACGAGGAAGCCACGGCUAACUACGUGCCAGCAGCCGCGGUAAUACGUAGGUGGCGAGCGUUGUCCGGAAUUAUUGGGCGUAAAGAGCAUGUAGGCGGCUUAAUAAGUCGAGCGUGAAAAUGCGGGGCUCAACCCCGUAUGGCGCUGGAAACUGUUAGGCUUGAGUGCAGGAGAGGAAAGGGGAAUUCCCAGUGUAGCGGUGAAAUGCGUAGAUAUUGGGAGGAACACCAGUGGCGAAGGCGCCUUUCUGGACUGUGU